UUGGCCCUAAAUCAAGGAAGGCAGCUUCCUGACUCUGUUGGUUUCAAGCAGGAGCCUAAAGAAAUGUCUUUCUAUGGUACGUUGGCCAUUUCAGAACUUGGGCAGUGAAAUGGUCAAUUCAUUAGAAAGAAACAGCU
ensembl:snoRNA